rnacentral:lncRNA from 1 species
GGGAGAACAGUUGUACUUCAGUCCACUUGCAACAGAGCCCCCAGCCCGCCAUGCACAGAGUGCUGCAGCAGGGACAGCUCUUGGGAGUUGCCCUUAAGUGAGGAAAUGAGGGCUUUGGCCCCCACCGUGGAGUAGUCCUUGGAGGGAGGCUGCCCCUGGGGAGGGCCCAUCACCUGGGGGGAAGCAGCUCUCUUCAGGUUGGGGCAGCUCCCAGAGAGAGCGCCUCACCUGAGUCCUGUGCAGCCAGCCAUCCCUGUACCCAGCAUAUGAACGUUGUCGCCCUGAGGAAGCAAUCAGGUGGCACAUUCCAGUGUCCACUACAGACAAGGUAGGAAGACAUGCAAAUCACAUCUGAAACAGCAGUAUUGGGUCCGGAAUGCUUUAGUCCUCGUUGAUGGCCCCAUUGUGAAAUGAGCGGCAAGGACGGCAGAGAGGGCGCGUCCUUCUGAUCAUGCUCUCCUAUUUGAGCCUCUUCUCUGAACAGACUACAUGUCUCUCAAAACUUCUUGUUAAAGCAUAAUUGGGUCCCUUGGAAAUUGUGAGGCACGGAUCUACAGACACCAAUGGCCACUUUGAGAAGAGAAUGAAGGUAGGUAUGUUUAGAUGGACCAUGCUGUGAGCGAGUAUUCUCACUGCAAAAUUGCAGUGGAGGGUUCUGGUCCACAAGGGCGUUGUGAGGUCAACGGCCACCCUACAGGGAGACAGCAAUCUGCAAGAGCCACCCAGCAGGCAGAGAGCAUCUCAGUUGAAUUUGCUAUUCCUUCCUAUUUUCCUAGGCCAGCCCUGCUGCUCAUGUCCUGUUUUGAAUGUUAUCUUUCUGUUUACGUUCUGUUUUUGUUUUAACAGACCCACCUAGUUCUGCCAAGCUCCAAAGUCCAAAUAUGCCUGCAGGCUGCUGGGUGAGAUGAUCCAGAAGAUGCUGCACUUGAUCACCUGCAUGAGUCAGGAUUACGUUAUGUACUGAUGGCACUGGUUUUUUUAUUGUUGCUAAUAAAAAAAUAUAUUACAAGCA